rnacentral:rRNA from 1 species
UACGGGGGGGGGUAAGCGUUGUUCGGAAUUACUGGGCGUAAAGGGCUCGUAGGCGGCCAACUAAGUCGGACGUGAAAUCCCUCAGCUUAACUGGGGAACUGCGUCCGAUACUGGAUGGCUUGGAUUUGGGAGAGGGAUGCGGAAUUCCAGGUGUAGCGGUGAAAUGCGUAGAUAUCUGGAGGAACACCGGUGGCGAAGGCGGCGUUCUGGACUGCAACUGACACUGAGGAACGAAAGCCAGGGGAGCAAACGGG